GACAGAGGGUGCAAGCGUUGUUCGGAAUUACUGGGCGUAAAGCGUGCGUAGGCGGUGAAGUGUGUCUGAUGUGAAAUCCCUCGGCUCAACCGGGGAACGGCAUUGGAAACUACUUCGCUGGAGUUCAGGAGAGGGUGGCGGAAUUCCUGGUGUAGAGGUGAAAUUCGUAGAUACCAGGAGGAACACCGGAGGCGAAGGCGGCCACCUGGCCUGAUACUGACGCUCAGGCACGAAAGCGUGGGGAGCAAACAGG
rnacentral:rRNA from 1 species